GCGGCUGCACCACUGGGAUACCCUGAUCCAACAUCGAGGUCGUAAACCCACCUGUCGAUAGGGGCUCUUGAGAUGGAUUGCGCUGUUAUCCCUAGGGUAACUUGGUUCGUUGCUCAAAAUAUUGGGUCAAUUUAUGUCAGUUUAUUGGUGCUUAAAGUUGUGGCUUUUGGCUCAAGAGUAGCUCUAUUCAUCAUGGAGGAUAAUUUUUGCUCCGCGGUCACCCCAACCCAAAACUAAUAGUUAAAAGGCUAGAGUUAGUAUAAGGCCCCCGGGGGGGGGUGUAAAUGGAUAAAAGCCAAUACUAUUUAGUUUGAAGCUCCAUAGGGUCUUCUCGUCUUAUAUUUAAAUCCCCGCUUCUUCACGGGGAGAUUAGUUUCAUUGAUUAGAAAAAGGAGACAGUGUAACCUUCGUGGUGCCAUUCAUACUAGUCCUCAUUUAAAGAACAAGUGAUUACGCUACCUUCGCACGGUUAGGAUACCGCGGCCGUUGAACUGGGUCACUGGGCAGGCUGGACCUCUUAUAUUGGUGCAAGAGGCGAUGUUUUUGGUAAACAGGCGAGGUUAAUAUUUGCCGAGUUCCUUCUUUUUCUUUAAAUCUUUCUUGAAAUGUGCUAGUGUCAGAUUAACGUUAAGAAUAACAGGGUUUUCUAGUGGGGUUGCUGUUGCAAAAUCAUAAACGUUUAAUUAUCAGUGGUAAGUCCUUUCUGAUCUACACCUACAUUUAAGAGAAGUGCUGUCUUCUUAUUACUAGUUUCAACAUAAGGGCUUCUAUAGUGUUAUAGAAUAACUUAAUAUAAAUAAAGGG
rnacentral:rRNA from 1 species